rnacentral:rRNA from 1 species
UACGUAGGGGGCAAGCGUUAUCCGGAUUUACUGGGUGUAAAGGGGGCGCAGACGGCGAUGCAAGCCAGGAGUGAAAGCCCGGGGCCCAACCCCGGGACUGCUCUUGGAACUGCGUGGCUGGAGUGCAGGAGGGGCAGGCGGAAUUCCUGGUGUAGCGGUGAAAUGCGUAGAUAUCAGGAGGAACGCCGGUGGCGAAGGCGGCCUGCUGGACUGCAACUGACGUUGAGGCCCGAAAGCGUGGGGAGCAAACAGG